ACUCCAGUGUGGCUGGGGGAAGAAACCUAAGAUGGGUGGAUUUUCGGGCUGUGGCUCAGGAGCAGGAGCUCCGAACCAAGGUGAAGAGCUGGCAGUGUGACCCUGGAUGAGGAUUCAAGUUAGCCUGGGGUACCCUUCUCUAUUUUCCACUCCCAAACUGGAAGAAGAAUCUUCCAUAAAUGGAAUCUUCCAUAAAUGUAGAGAAACUGGGGGCUUUCCAGCCCUAGCUUUGGUCAGUAACUAUUUCAAGACAACACCUAAGAAGAUGGCUUUGCACUGGGAAAGAAACGAGGGAAGACAGAAAGUAAAGACAGCUAGGCACUCAUGUGUCAGACGAGAGUUAUUCUGCAAGAGGCCCUUACAGAAUAACACAGGCAAUUAGAGGCAAGGAAUUUUCCUUAGAACACUAAACCUGAUGUACAAUGAAGACAAAAUACUAACUCAUAAGCUGCCAUUCACUUCCUACAAAGAAACAGCUCAAGCCACGUCCCCGCCACCUCCUGGAUCAGGAGAGACCUGUGGGUCCUGCAGACACUGGACCUCCAGGGAGGCUGAACAGCAGAUCAUCCCCACGCAGCUUCUCGCUGAGACCUGAUAAACCGCAGCGUCGCUCUGGGCACAGCUAGGAGGAAGAUACACAGGCUAUCUCAUCUCCAGGUUUCUGUGUGGCAUGUUCCAAAAUGAGCUCCAAAAAGUUCUCAGAGCUCUGGCCUUCCUAUUCAGCAGGAGUCCAGCUGAGCCUGACCUGAUAUCUCAAGGUAGGAGGUUUACAAUUGACCUGAUAUCAUAGGACUCAGAGACAACAGGGACAGAACAAGGGAGAAGGCCAGGCAGGAAGCGAAGGUGAUAUGGCCUAAAGGCAAACUGAAUGGGGACACGGGAUCAAGAGAUAGCUCUACCACAAAGUGAGGGUUUAUCACAAGCCAGGAAAGGUGAGGAGACACUUCUAGACUCUAAUGUACAACAGAGAAGGAGUACAGGCUUUGGUGAGAUGCUCUUUGCUGUAUGCAUGUCAAGGAGAAACUAUGGCUGGAGCUGGUCGUCACAAAGACACAUGUCCCCCAGCCUCCAUCUUGCCUCAGUCUCACAGUCCUAUACACCCUCAUAGCUUGUCCUGUCCCAGUCUCUAUGAUCCUGCUAAAUCAUUGGCCCGAUUUGGUUCCAGCUCUGCCUCAACCGUGCCAUCCACUCUUACUAAGAGUCUUGGAGGGUGUUGGCCAAACUCUCUUCAGUGCUAGAAUGCUGUGGUUUCUACAUCGUUGAGUCUCCAUCUUCAGUGACUCUAGACUGUGACUCUGAUUACCAUGGAGGACCAAGACUGUGCCUCAUACUCUUCCCAGCAUGGUGCUUCCCAUGGAAGGAAAUGUUGAUGGAGGGACCCUGUAAGAGUCAGCACAUUUACAGUAUCAAUUGAUGAGUGAGCCUUUCCCUGACUGUUCCAAGGUCAGAAGAGAGGUUCUUGAGUCAAUCUGUCACCUACCCACAAGACUCAACACGACCUGUUCCAAAGGGUUAGCACCAUCAUGAGGAGAGCUACCAAAUGCCUGUCUCUGGGGAAAGAUGAGUAAAUGUUCUAAGGGCUGGCUUAUGACCAUUCUCUGAGAUCCUCACCUUCUGAAGUCACAACCGGGAAGCGAUGACGGACAGGGAAUUCUCGGAAGGAAUCCAUCACCCCAGAGACUAAAUGGGAGGUUCUCGUCAGACCCUCAGAACCCAUUCAAGUAGGCCUCUCGGCAUGGUGAGAGUAAGUGGAUAUGAGUAGUGGAUAUGAGGCACACCUUCUGAAUUCAUUCAGGAAGAAUGUCUGGGAAGCCCCAUGCUGGGAAGAGAGGCCCUUUAGGUGCCGGAAAGUUCUCCCAGUCAUCCUUAAGACUUGUUACACCUACUUAAGCACACAGAACGCCGAGUUCACAAAAUGCUUUCCAGACUUGGGUGAAAGCCAUCAGCACUUAGCCAAGACAUAAUGAAGUUCAGUCAUCUUUAUUUCUACCCGGUGAGGUCUUGACAAAGCACGUCGUUGGUAUUUCACCUCCAACAAGAAAGAACCGAGAAGAAAAGUGCUGGCGCUCCAAGCUAGCUUUCUUUCUUAUCCCUAAGAUAUCAGUUUUAAUCUGUCUCAAAAGCAUUCUCUUGGUGUGGCAGUGCAUGCCUUUAAUCCCAGCACUCUGAAGGCAGAGACAGAGGCAAGAGGAUCUCUGUAUGUUCAAGGCCAGUCUGGUCUACAUAGAGAGUUCUAGGACAGCAAGGGGCUACACAGUGAGAUCCUCUCUCCCAAAACCAACCAACCAACAAACAAAACAAAAGGAUUUUAAGGUAGCUUGAGAUAGUAAUGUGAUGAGUUGACCUCAGAUUUUUCUCUUAAUUUAGGAAAUAAAACCCUGUGUUCUGUAAAGGGUUGACUUAAAAUAACAAUUCUAAUGUAAGCAGGGUGUGUGUUUUGAGAUAUUCCCUUUGAAAUAAGGAUGUCUUUAACUGAGUCUUGGGUACCAUCCAAUUUCAUUCAUAGUUAGAUGCUCAGGGCCUUGGGUUACCUGAGAGGGUUGAGAUGUUCUUGGGUGAUUGUGUAUAGGAGAGGACUGAUGUGCCUCUAGGGAACUGGACAAAGUCACAGCGACAGACAACAAGUUCUGAUGCUGAAGUCUCAGACCAGAGUAGCCUAAGGAAUGUGGCCCAUGUCCCAAGGUUCAUGAAAUUUAACUGCUAGGGCUGGAGAGAUGCUCAGUUGUUAAAGGGGUUUCUGUGCAAACACGAGGACCAGAGUUCAUAUUCUCAGCACCCACAUAAAAGUGGUUACCUAUAACCAUAGUGCUAGUGGGGUAGAAAGGGCAGACUUCCCAGGACCUUGCUGCCAGACAAUCUGGACCAAUCAAUGAGCUUCAGGUUCAGUGAGAACACUGUAUAAAGGCUUGAGGUGAAGAAGUGGGGAAAUCAUUGAAGAAUGAUGCUAGUAUUAACCUCGAGUCUGCCUCCACAUGCAUGUACACGUGCACAAACAUGUGGAAAUGUACAAACAGCUGUACAUACCCAUACUUAAACACACACACAUACACAUGUGUGUACAUGCGUGCACACACACAUACACACAGAGAGAGACAGAGAGAGAGAGAGACAGAGAGAGAAUAAUUGCUAUAGCUGAUAAAUUACCAAAGUCUCAGAUUCACCUUUAAAACAAACUUUCAAAUAUAGUUAUGAUAUAAAAUCAUAUAAUAAUAAAACCCAAUGUCUGUAGUAUAAUAAAUAAUGCAGCUUUUCUUCUAAUAAAUAGUCACUUAUUUUUAUGUCUGUUUCCUGCAACAGAAGGUGACAUCCUGAAAGACUCAGCACUCCUUUACCUGAUCUGUGAUUAAAACACAUUAAGCACUCUCCUUGUUGAAUAAAUGAACGGAUUAAGAAUUGAUAAAAAUUAUUCCACAGAAAAGGGUAGUCACAGGGAGUGCGGGGUUUGGUUGGCUUUGUUUUACGUGGGACAGGGACACGUGGAGAUAGACAUUUAUAAAGAUCCUCUAAACAGUCCAUGCAUGGACAAUGAAAUAGAAUAUAACAUUUGACUGUGGCAGGGCUAGAAAGAUGGCUCGGAGGUUUAGAGUAUAUACUGCUUUUCCAGAGGACCACAUUGGGUAGCUCAGAGCUGACUUUAACUCCAGAUCCAGGACACCCAAUACCCUCUGUCUUCCAUACCUCACAUGACACACAUACAUACACAAAUUCUUUUCAAAAACAUUCGGCCGUUCAUUCCCCAAUCCAAGUAGGUACUCCUCGCUGACAUAUGACUUCAUUACUUCAUUCUUCAGAAGAGUAGUCUGUGUUCUCGUCUUCAAUUUGAGGUGUCCCAUGUCUGUCUUUGGUCACAGUAAUGUGGUGGUUUGGGUGUUUGAGUGAACACCAGAGGCCCUAUAGCUCUGGUCCCUGUCCUGAAAGUCAGUUUCUGCCUCCUACGAGGACAGGAGUCAGUGUGUAGGAGUCACCUAGCAAUGUCAGCUAUCAGACAUGGGGGUAAAAGUAUCUUGGACCUUUUAGGUCAACCAGAACUCACACUGGCUCAAACUUCAUGAUUGAGCAUGAAGAAUGCCCUUGAGGUGAGUUACAGGAUUCCAGGUGCUUCCUCUCUCCCUUGUGCCCUUGGGCCUGAGGUGGAUGUUCUCGCUCCGUGUGUUCCAGGAGCUCCGUCAUGAUGCACCACCUCUCCACCAAUCAUGGGCCAGACCCUCCGAAGCUGAGAGCCGAAAUGUUCUUGCCUUACAAGUUGGUUGUCUAUAGUGCCAGAAAGGUGGCCAAUGUCCAGUUUAGGACACUAUCCUUUGACGUUGACCUGCAGAUGACUCCCAGGUGACCUGGACAAGCUCUGGGUAUGUUCUGAGAGCCAGUGUUAUGUUAUAAGAUGCAGCUGCCCUGUGUCUGGAUGGACUGAGGACAGCGUUCUUCUUGGUUGACUGCUCAGAUGCCCCGCAUAUCCGAGGACUGUUUGCUAAGACUGUAGUAACAGAUCUCCACAAACCAAUACAAGCAAGAGAAAUGUAUUCUUCCAAGCAUCUGGAGGAUUGAAAUGUACAUCUGGAAGUCCAAGGUGUAAGUGCCAUUAAAGUCGAACUUCCCCUGAAGCUCUGGGAAGAGUCAUCCUUUGCGGUUGCCUUGCUGGCCGUCUUGGGCAAUCCUUAGUUUCUAGCUGCUUCACCCUCUUUCUCAGCACCCAUCUCUGGCUGUUUUCCUAGCCAUGUCCCUGAUUUCCCUUUCUCUAUGGACAUUGGUCAUCAGUUUGGAGCUUACUCUAAUCCUAUAUAAGCUCAAUUAUGAGUGCAAAGACAUUAUUUUCAAAUGAGGUUCUAGUCCAAGGUUCGAAGUGUAUAUAGAUAUGGGUGGGGGAUAAUAUUCAUCUGCAUAUUGUGUGGGCACAUUAGCUUGUGUCUGUGUAAGCUUUUAGGCUUGCCUCAGCCCAGCCAAUGCUGGAGCAAAGUUAAUGAGUGUGCAAGAGGGGCCACUUUCCAUUCUCAUCUUAUUUCUGCUCUCUCUCUCUCUCUCUCUCUCUCUCUCUCUCUCUCUCUCUCUCUCUCUCUCUCACAACAUGGCAGGAUGUGACAAGGACCUUCAAAAAAUGCCUCUUGUGAGCCUGGACCACAUAGUGAGUUCCAAGGGCCACAUAGUAAGACCCUGUCUAAAAAAUUAAAAAUAAAAAACAACUAAAACACUUCUUGUGGCAAAAAUAAAAAGGAUCUGUGAUGGUUAGUUUUAUGUUAAACUUAACAUAAGCAGGGUCAUCAGCAAGGUGGAAGCUUCAACUGAGGAAAUACCUCCAUAAGGUAUUUUCCCUCCUUUCUGUAUGCAAGGCUGUAUACAAGCUGGGAGUGCAUUUUCUUAAUUAGUAAUCGAUGUAGAGGGCCCAGCCUAUCGUGGGUGGGGCCGUCUCUGAACUAGUGAUCCUGGGGUCUAAUAACAAAGCAGGCCGAGUAAGUCAUGGGAGCAAGCCAGUAAGCAGCACCCCUCCAUAGCCUCUGCAUCAGCUCCUGUCUCGAGGUUCUUACCCUGUUUGAGUUCCUGUCCUGACUUCCUUCAGGGAUGAGCAGUGAUGUGCAAAAGUAAGCCAAAUGAAUCUUAUAUUGCCCAAGUUGCUUUUGGUCAUGUAGUUCAUCGCUGCAAUGAAAGUCCUAACUAGCUGGGGAUUUAGCUCAGUAGUAGAGCGCUUGCCUAGGAAGCGCAAGGCCCUGGGUUCGGUCCCCAGCUCCGAAAAAAAAGAAAGUCCUAACUAGAAGGGGAUCUCUCUCUCUCUCUCUCUCUCUCUCUCUCUCUCUCUCUGGAUGUUGGGCUUGGACGUAUUUUUAUCUUUAAAUAAUACUCACAAAAUGUCACAUGGUUUCCAACUUGUCCACAUAUUGGUGCUGUUUGCUUUCUCUAUGAGGUAGAAAACAUUCACCCCUCCCAAUUCCUAUAUCUUUAAGGAAAAAAAAAACCCACUGCAUUUUCAAAUUGUAUGCAGGUGUUAAUGUUAUGACUGAUGUUUCUCUCUCCGAUGAUUUUUUUGGCUCUCUGUCUCUCUUCCCUGGCAAGCACUCUUGACCUGUAGCUGGAUAGGCACUGAUAUAUCUCUCCCGGAAUGAGACCUUGAGGUGAAUUGGCGGUGUGGAUAGAGGAGUCCCACCAGGUAAUGAAAGGAGGGAAAAGCCAAAUGCCAGCAAACCCAGCGUCGGAGUGGUUGAUCCUGGUAUGGUUUCAGUCUGAAACAUCACCACACAAAGACCCAUGUGUUUAAACGUAUGGCGAGGCUGUGUUAGAGGUUGUGGUGUUGGGAUGAAGGAAGGGGCCGUCACUGGGGGCUGGCAUUUGAAGGUUAUAUGUCUUUUCCUGGUCCUAGUCUCUACUUCUUGAUCCAUCAAGAUGUGAGAAGUUCCCACAGCCUCAGACAAAGUCACCCCAUCAAGCUUUCUCCUCCACAAUGAGCUGUGUCCUCUGAAAGUGGUCAGUAGUCGAAGCUGAGAAGUUGCUCGGAGGCUGUUUGAACCGUGAAGAAAUGUUGUCUCUCUGGAAAGCCUGCACUUGGUGCUACAUGAGAGCUUGCAGCUUCCCCGACCUUGGUCCUAAGACACUCCUGGCAAACCUAGAGUUCUUACCUUUGAUUAUGGCUAGGCAUGGUCAAAAGGGACUGAGACUUUCUGUGCUGUCUGCUCUCAGGGGCAGCAAGGGCAAGAUGGCUUUGGUAGCUGGGACCUUCCCCAGCCCCAAUUAACCUAAAGCUUGCUGGGUGUCAGUCUUUUUCAAGACGGCUGAACCCCUCAGCUCCCCCCGGGAAAUGAAGGUUUAGAAUCUUGGUGAGCAAAAAAAAUAAAUAAAUAAAUAAAAAAAAUAAAAAAUAAAAAAAAAGAAUCUUGGUGAGCUUCUUUCUACAGCAUCACCUACGACUGACAUCAAUCAAUAUCGAUAGGCCUUGGCCAGAUUGGAAUGAAGAAGCCUUGCUUGAGGGACACAAAUGACAAAUUGGGGGCCUGCUAGAUGUAUUUGACACACAGAACGGCUCUGUUUGCUUACUACUGCCUGUCCUCCAUGCUGGAGUGAGUGCUCUGUGAGAAUGUAGACAGUGUUUGCUAUUUUUUUUAAAGAUGUAUUUUUUCAUUUAUUAUAAGUACACUGUAGCUGUCUUCAGACACACCAGAAGAGGGCAUCAGAUCUCACUACAGAUGGUUGUGAGCCACCAUGUGGUUGCUGGGAAUUGAACUCAUGACCUCUGGAAGAGCAGUCGGUGCUCUUAACCACUGAGCCAUCUCUCCGGCCCCAGUGUUUGCUAUUUACCUCCAUCUUUAGUAUUAGGUUCAAGGCCUGCUGUGUUGUUUGAUGAAUGGCAGCCUUGGUAGUCUGUGAGCCACAAGAAUUUAGCACGGUGAGAUGACCUUUGACCUUACUUUGGACAAAAAGGUACAUGGGUGUCAAGAAAGCUGGUGGAGGUGCCUGAAACAUGGCUCUGCUGGUAAAGAUGUCUGUUCACCCGAGUGCAGUCUCUGGGGCCCACACGAUAGAGAGAACUGACUCCUGCAGGCUGUUCCCUGGCUUCUACUUGCGUGCCAGGGCAUGUGAGCAAAUAGAUAAGAUUAAAGCACGCAAAAAAAGUGAGCUGAUGACUACCUCUGUCUGUCAUAUGAAAAUGUACAAGCAGCAAAAUAUUUAGAUCUCUUAGUCAUACUGGUUUUAUGUUUUUGUUUUAUGUUUUUGUUUUUUGUUUGCUUGUUUUUGCAGACAAAGAAAAUGAGAGGUUAAUCUCAGAGCAAGACAGUUAAUAACAUGGAAUUCCAACUCAAGGCUCGCUUUCUUUUUCCCUCAGAUCCAGGCCUCCAUGCUCACAUUCCUGCCUACCAGUCAUUCCUGUGCUCUGCCCUACUGCCAGCCUCCUUACAGAUGCUUUAGGGUCAGUAACAUUGGGGGAUGUCGACGUAUGAGUGUAAAAUGUCUCGCACAGGCUCACAUGUUUGAAAACAUUGUCCCCAUUUGGCGACACUGUUUGGGAAGGUUAUAGAACCUAGAAAAAAUGAGCCUUGCUGGAAAAAUGGGUCACUGAGAUGAGGAUUGAAGUUUCAUCACCCAACCCCACUUCCUAUCCACUCUCUGCUUCUUGAGUCAGAUACAAUGUAACUAGUGGACCUCUGAUUCCUACUUGUCUUGCCCACCAGUGAAAUGUAUCCCCUUAAACAAUAAUCCAGAAUAAACCCUUCCUUGUUUAGGUUUCUUCUCAUGGUAUCUUAUCACACCAAAGAGAAAGGUAGCUAAAACAGGGACCACAAGUACAGACUCCCUGACAGCUUCAAACAGAACAGUUCACAUCUUUCCUACAUAUCCAGCCUCUGCAUUUCAGAUAAUCACAUAUUAUCUCCUGGGGAAACAAAAAGAUCUAGAAACUACUGUCCCGAACCAUCACUACCUUUUUUUAGAGGAGAGCAGGAUCUCAGGUGUCUCAGGCUGACCUUGAACUCCUGAUCCUCCUGCCUUUACCUCGGAAAACUGGAGUCUGAAAGUUGCUUUCUAUCCUUAAUUCCCUAACGCAGUUGCAAUGGGUUCUGGCUAGUCACUUGUGUUUCCUUCAUCCAAUAUGGAAGGUUGGACACCAGCGCUGAAAUCUCAUCAUGUUUUCUUAACUUUACAGAGAGAACAAGAUUAGACCAAAAAAAAAAAUCAUCCAAUGUAGGAAAAUGACUUGGAAUUCUAGAUAAAGUUUAAGUCUCCAAUGGCAAACUAGAGAGGGCUAAAUAGUUGCUUAACUCAAUGAAUAUAGUCCCCCUUAAUUAUCCUAUGGAGACCUCAGUUCCAGGAUAGCCAACCCUGGGGAUGCUCUCUUUCCUACAUAAUAUGACGUUCUAUUUGUACAAACCGCCCCAUGUUAAUUUCAAUGCCUAAUAUGCAUACAUUAUAUAUAAAUUACUAGUGGACUAUAUUGUCUAGGGAGUAAAGAUAACCAUGACUAGUCCUUAUCCGAGUUUUUUUUUUUUUAAAUAUUUUUAACCUCAUGGUUGAUUAAAUCUGCAGGUAAUCCAUUCAUGCAGAGGGAGCAUUUCAGUCAGUACUGGAUGCUCUGGCCGAUGCCUGACCGUAACAUCUAAGACCAGAACUUCUGAAGCAAACACCAGUCUGACCUUUAGUAACCAGCACAGCAUGGGAGACAGAAUUUUAGUGAAUGGUCCACAGGAGCCAAGCCACUUACCCUGGGA